ACUCUAGUUUCUCCAUUUAUUUUCCCAUUCUUUCCUGUCUUUCUUAUUGUUUCCAUCCAUUCCGAAUGCAUCCACCUUCAUGUACAUGAUAUAUGGACCACACUUGGCUAGCAUCCACGGCCUCGCCGACGCACAAGUGGUUUUACCGACAAAGGCACACUGAUAGUCCCAAGACAGAGCAUUGAUAGAUUUCUCUGGCUCGUUGCAACCUGCAAAGGGAUGCACUCAGGUUUUCCAAAAGAUGAUUGUCUCUUUGUCGACGACCAGGUAUUUGUUAAGAAAUCCAGCAUCCAAUAAGGGUUCUUAGGUGAAAUGAUCCUUGAUUGAAUUCGGACAAUGUGAAGUGUCCCUUGACCUAAUAUCUUAUCUCGACAGAUCCAUACUUCUUCAAUUGUUCGAGAUGCAGCGUGUGUUAGGACUGCGUGUUGGAUGCUGCCCAGAGAUUGUGUGCAUUUCUGCUGCAGCUUUUGCAGAGAGUCUAUUGUAGAUGAGGGAUUAGUUAAGUGUGAUCUGGUUUUUGGAGGGAUUGCUGUUAAGUAGCUCGGUUGUGCAAGUCUUGGGCAGGGACUUACAGGAAUGGAUUGUCGUUAGCCUACUCCGCAUGAAUGUCCGGUGGGUUCUCUCCUUGGUUCGACUCGGUCAAUCUUUUCCUCCUUUUCCAUUCUGCAAAUGUUCCAUAGCAUUGUGUGAGAGAAAGGUCACCACCGCUGCUCCCAUCCUUCCGUAAGUUGUCUUGGUGGAUGCGAGGAGCCAAGUCCAAAGCACCGAGAUGGCGCCGAAGGCCAAACCUAAAUUCUAUGCUGUGAGGAAGGGGCGCAUGCCUGGCAUCUACUCUACCUGGGCUGAAUGCCAGGAGCAGGUCUGGGUCGUGCCUUGCAUCCUCCAUGGAAAUUAGCUUCCUUUAAUUUGUCCGAUCUUGGGAAGCAGCGGAUUGCCGAGACAAAUGGGUACGCAAGAGCUGAGUUUAAGAGCUUCAGUAAUCGACAGGAAGCAGAGCAUUACAUGGGUCAAGGUUUGGGUAUCAAAGCAGAACCAAGUAUGGAACAGGUGCCAGCUAUGUCAGAACCAUCGUCGAAAAGACUAAAGAAGUCCACCUCAUCGGGAACAGUUCGACCGUCUAUAAAAAUUGAGGCUCCAGAUACUACUGGUGUCUCACAAGACCAAGCAGAUGACGUGUACCAAAUAGAAUAUGAUGGUGCUUCAAAAGGCAAUCCAGGUCCAGCUGGGGCUGGGGCUUUGGUGCGGGGGCCUGAUGGAUCUGUGUUCUGUGAGCUCAGAGAAGGAUUGGGAUCUGUCACAAACAACGUGGCUGAAUACCGGGCUUUCAUAUUAGGGUUAAAAGGAGCACUUGACAGAGGGAUUUAUCGUGUGAGGGUUCAAGGAGAUUCUAAAUUAGUUUGUCAACAAGUCUUAGGUAAAUGGAAGGUGAACGAUGAAGGACUCCUUCCUUUGUGGAAGGAGGCACAGAUGCUUAUGCUGAAUUUUAGAGAAAUUUCCGUAAAACAUGUCGUAAGAGGUAUUGAGCGGCGCAUGGAACGAGUGAAAGGAAGUUCUCGUUUUGUUCAUUCUGUGGAUAAUUUGUCGAAGAUCGCCUGUAAAGUGGACAUUUGUUUAGCUUUGGAGCUUUGAGGUCAUCAUAUUAUGGUUCAUUAUGCAUCACUUAAUUUGUUGGUUAUGUUUGUUGUGAUGUGGGUAUUUUCUGCUCAUACAGCGAUUCAAUCCGUCAGCUGAUCAGUUAGCUAAUGAAGCUGUAUCUCUGCCAGAGACAAAGUUUGUUAGCUCAUUUCCUGGUUUGCAUGAGAGUCCGACAAUUUCGAUAAAGAUUGAAGACUAACUGUUGGUUAACUUGGACUUUGAGAAUUCGGUGCUUUACUAUAAUGACAGUGAAGGGUCGUUUUGUUCCUUAAUUCUUCAAAGAUUAUACUAGUUUCCAAUUUAGCUGCAAACACUCUAGCAGUCCAAUCAUCUAUGUUGAAUUUAUUGUAAUCCAGUAUAUUGGUUGGGUCGAACUGGAGAGAUUCACACGAUCGAGAUCGUAAUUUUGAUGCAAAUUUCUUAUAUUUCAACGCACUAAUUAUAAUGCACCAUGAUGGAUCAUCGUAUUUACGAUUAU